rnacentral:tRNA from 1 species
AAUUAAUGAACUUGAAUAAGUUUAUGUUUUGAAAACAUAAUAAAGAAGGAAAAUCUUCUAUUAAUUU